UGCGAGUCACGUAGCAAUACGUGGCAUACGGCUCAGUAACACGUAGUCAACAUGCCCAGGGGACGUGGAUAACCUCGGGAAACUGAGGAUAAACCGCGAUAGGCCAAGAUUUCUGGAAUGGAUCAUGGCUUAAAUCUAUAUGGCCCCUGGAUUGGACUGCGGCCGAUCAGGCUGUUGGUGAGGUAAUGGCCCACCAAACCUGUAACCGGUACGGGCUCUGAGAGGAGGAGCCCGGAGAUGGGCACUUAGACAAGGGCCCAGGCCCUAUGGGGCGCAGCAGGCGCGAAAACUCUGCAAUAAGCGAAAGCUUGACAGGGUUAUUCUGAGUGAUUUCCGCUAAGGAAAUCUUUUGGCACCUCUAAAAAUGGUGCAGAAUAAGGGGUGGGCAAGCCUGGUGUCAGCCGCCGCGGUAAUACCAGCACCCCGAGUGGUCGGGACGAUUAUUGGGCCUAAAGCAUCCGUAGCCGGUUCUACAAGUCUUCCGUUAAAUCCACCUGCUUAACAGAUGGGCUGCGGAGGAUACUAUAGAGCUAGGAGGCGGGAGAGGCAAGCGGUACUUAGUGGGUAGGGGUAAAAUCCGUUGAUCCAUUGAAGACCACCAGUGGCGAAGGCGGCUUGCCAGAACGCACUCGACGGUGAGGGAUGAAAGCUGGGGGAGCAAACCGGAUUAGAUACCCGGGUAGUCCCAGCUGUAAACGAUGCAGACUCGGUGAUGAAUAGGCUUCGUGCCUAUUCAGUGCCGCAGGGAAGCCGUUAAGUCUGCCGCCUGGGGAGUACGGUCGCAAGACUGAAACUUAA
rnacentral:rRNA from 1 species